CUGAACCUAUUCUCUCGUCAUCUGUCUCCCUAUCUGUACUCACCGUCUCACUCUCUCUUGUCCUCUCCGUCUCACUGUCGAAAUCUCUACUCUCAAUCUUCGUCGCUAGGUUCUCUCAAUCUCAAUACGUUUCACUGAAAAUUGUACUACCUAAAGCUAAUCUAUAGGGUUCAGACGAAGAACGAUACAAAUCUCUAAGUGGUCGGAGCUUCUACAAUCCAAGUUCUGUCUGGGAUAUCUACGAAAAGCUAAGUGUGGAUUCUUCCAUUUUGAUUUGGGUUUUUACGAUUUCCUACAGUUGCUGAGUUUAAUUUCUAAGAUUUCUACGAAAAGCUAAUGUAUUUCUUAUAUAUUGUAUGUGUAGUGAAGACCGAUCCAGUGCAUGUAAGAUCUGAGUACAGAUCUGGUUUUUUCGUGCGCAAAUGUGUAGUGAAGAUCUAUCCAAACCCGACCCAUUAGAGAUGUGCGCAAAUGUGAGAUCUGUUGUGUCUUUUACAUUCCACCACAGACCCCUCUUGCCAUCUCGAUCAGCUAGCAUUCUCUCAUAUCUUCAGACCUUCUCUCUAACACUGUCCUAACCGAUCUAGACUGUGAUUGUUUCAAAGCUGUCAUAACCAAUGUGAAUGUUGAUGAGAAUCUUUACUCAGCUGGCUGAAGACAAAGUCCCCUUAAAAGGCCAUUCAAUUUUGGAUUGAAAAUAUAUCACUACUGGAAAUUAUGGAAUUUCCGACCACCUGAAAAUGAUCUUAAAUCAAGUCGAAAGUCUUGUUCCGACCACUUUUGGUAUCCGGAUGGUGGUCGGAAAUUCCAUAAUUUCCAGUAGUGUAUCAACCUAAAACUGUUGAAGUUUCAAAUAAUCCAGAGACAUGACACUGGUUGGGUGAAGGUAUAUACUAUAAAUGAAGACAUAUAUUUGAAAGGAUUCAACUCGUUUGUCAACUUAAGUGAAGUUGAAUGUGUCAAAAACUGAAGUCAUUUCACUGUUAAAUGUGGAAUGUGGUUACUACAAAAAAGAGGGGAGCCAUUUUCAGGCCGAGUAGAUGGCAAAGAAAGAACAACACGCGGAGCUUAAUUCGCAAAAUGGCUGGUUAGUAGCGAUUAUUUAUAGAAUAGAGUUGAAGGCUGAAGAGUUCAAAUCAGAUUUGGAGGAUGUAGAUUUCCAAAAAAACUUGACAAUUACUGAAGAGCAAUUAUGGGUUUGCACGGGAAAAUGAAACGCCAAAGUAGAAAGGUUGCAAAGUGUUUUGAAUUCUCUCAUCGAUUUUGAUAUGUAUGUAUGUAUUCGCAAGAGUGUAUGUAUAAAAACAUUUAAUGUAAACGGCGACCUGUAACUUGGAACAACUCCCCAAAAAUUUGGGAAACCAAAAAGGUGGCUGAGCAUAAAUUAAGUAUUUAAGUUUAAUACAAACACAAUUACUGAAAAU